rnacentral:tRNA from 2 species
GCCGGCCUAGCUCAAUUGGUAGAGCAACUGACUUGUAAUCAGUAGGUUGGGGGUUCAAGUCCUCUGGCCGGCUCCA